GGUCAAUGGGUGCAAACCUGAACCAGCCAUCCCGCGUGAAGGACGACUGCCCUAUGGGUUGUAAACUUCUUUUGUAUAGGGAUAAACCUACCCUCGUGAGGGUAGCUGAAGGUACUAUACGAAUAAGCACCGGCUAACUCCGUGCCAGCAGCCGCGGUAAUACGGAGGGUGCAAGCGUUAUCCGGAUUUAUUGGGUUUAAAGGGUCCGUAGGCGGACUUAUAAGUCAGUGGUGAAAGCCUGUCGCUUAACGAUAGAACUGCCAAUGAUACUGUAAGUCUUGAGUAUAUUUGAGGUAGCUGGAAUAAGUAGUGUAGCGGUGAAAUGCAUAGAUAUUACUUAGAACACCAAUUGCGAAGGCAGGUUACCAAGAUAUAACUGACGCUGAGGGACGAAAGCGUGGGG
rnacentral:rRNA from 1 species